rnacentral:lncRNA from 1 species
AUAUUCCUUGCUAAUAUCACUAUGCAUCGGCGUAGUCUUGUCUCACAAUGAUUGCUAAGUAUGCUUGCAACAACUAUGAUAAUGCUAGACUAUAUAGUUGAGAAUAACUUAGGGAAUAUUCUUGUAGUUCGUUCUAAUACCAUGCUAAUGACUUUCUAGAAUUUCUAAUUGAGGUGCUUAUCAUAUUUAUUAUGUGGCU